GCUCUGCCGAUCUGAAAAAUUAUGCACGUGUUAAGUCUGACACGUUCACGAAGCCCUAAUUUCACCUUAACUUAUUUCAGAAUAAUUUUUUUUUGCACGGGUAACGGCAUGAGAUGCUGUUCUGAGUGGCUCGUGGGUGUCAUCCCGCUGAGGCCUCACCCCUGCCCUGGAGGGAGGUACCGAUACCCCGCGUGCGGUGGUGGAGACGCAGGCAGAGCCAGGCUGCGUAGCUGCCCGGGUGGCGAGCGGCGGGUCUGGGGGAAGUGCAGGCGGGGUCUGAGCGUUAACCGCGGCCCCCGCUGCGUGUUCUUGGGGAGGAGGGCGUGUGCGUGCGCAAAGCAGGACGGCACACGGUGAGGGUGCAGUCGGCACCUGGGGGGGUGGGCUUCUGUCACGGGGACGAGGAAGAAAGGCCACGCCGGGCCCGGGAGGAGAGAGGAAAGCAAGCUGGCCAAGAGCUGUGAGCGGCCCCGCGGUAGUGCUGAGGCGGGUCUCCCGGGGAGGCGGGGCGGGCGGGGGACAGUGUUCGCCCGGGGCGCCCGCGGCACAUGGCCAGCGGCCGCCUACCUGAAGGGGCUACAGGGGGCAGGAGGCGAGGGACCCAGCUUCAGACUGCACCGCGGGAGGACGUGGUAGCCGUGGCUCCGUUGUCCCGUGGCCUGUCAGGAGGCCCCACCCUCCCACACCACCUCCCCUCACCAGGGAUCGCAGAGCAAGUCACUCGGCGCCCGGGAUGUGUAUUUUAAAACCUCGGAUCCAAAUUACAGCCUUAAAAUGACUAACGACCUGUGGUUGAAGGGGACGGGCCCUCAGGAGCCGUGUGGUCUCUGUGAUGAGCCGGGAAGGCUGUGUCAGGUGUCUGGGGGCCUGGACGUGGUUACGGAUGCUGGAGCGGUGAACACCGCGUCUGUCAGAGCCCCCGGGUAAUUUAAUCCCGUCAGUGCCUGUUGGAAUUCAGGUGCCGUGUCUGAACAUAGACGUGUCGUUUCUACACGUCGUGUAACGCUGCCUGCAGACGUGUGGUCACGUACGACACAAGUGGCUUGGGGGUAGCCUGGCCACACUUCCUAAUCGCAGCCUCCACGCAGCCUCCGAAUGUUUCGUAAGCCGCAUUUGCGUGUUCUGUGGCUCGUACAGAGUCCCUGACGUACCCACCUGCCUGCGGCUUCACUUAGUAACGGGCACCUGACCAGGGGCAGGGGUGCUCGGGGGCUGAGGACGGGAUGGCAGCUGGGGCCACGCGGGCGCCUCUGUCCCCGCGGCUCAGCCCCGUGUGCGGGCUCCAGGAGGCCUCUACAGCUGCCGGGCUGGGAUUUCCCGGAGCAGGUUGCAGGCGGGCGGGCGGCACGGGGUGGGGGAGGCUGGGGUCACCAGGGGCUCCCCGCUGCCCCGUCCGUUAGUAGCUGUCUUGUGACUUCACUGUUGUUUUCAGUACAGUGUGGACGUUGUCACCACCCUUC